GCGAGCGUGUAUGGCGUCUGGCUGUUGGAACCUCACUGUGACUCUUCAGAUAAGACCAAAUAUUAAAUUGUAAGAAGGGCUGCUUAUAAGAGCAUACAGUACAUCUGAAACUGCUGAGGCUGGGAAGGUUUCCGACCAGAUCAGCUGCUAUAGAAGACAAACUGAGUGCAGAGACAAGCAAAGGAAUAGCACUUGUGCAAAAUAUUGUAUGCCUGAACGACUAGGCUGUGCCCAGGUCUCCGGAACCUGCGACGACGCUCAGCUCCAUCAGCCCUUAGUAUCCGGCUUCAGCUCCACCACCAUCCCUACAUCAUCUCCUCGUCCACCUCCAAAACCCCCCACUGUUGCUUGAACUUUAUCAUCUUCAGUCUUUGCACACACAUCUAUUCACUUCUGCACUUUGUUUUUCAGUAUUUUUUUAUUUUUUUUUCUUUAGAAAAUUGCAUUGUAAUUUGUAUUUAUUCAUUGAUGUAAAAUUAUGUACUUUUCAGUAAUACAGGUAUAACUGAAAUGUUCUACAAACAGAUAAGAUAGCUCUGCCAUAGCUGUCAGUCCUCUGUCAUGUGUGUCAUGUGUUCCCGCCUCUUGUUUCCAUAUUUUGUCAUGUUCCUGUCCUUGUUAAGAGUGAUUAUUAGUUAAGUCUUGUCCAGCCGUGUUUCGUCUAAUUAUCAGUAAUUGUCAUGUGUAUUUAGUUCCUGCCUGUUUAGUUAGUUUUGGUCUGGUCUACUCGUUAUUCCCCGGUGUUCCUGUCUGUGUGAACCUUGCCUUGUCUUGCCCUGUCCUGAUGUCACUAUUAAAGACUGUUAUUUUGAAGUUCUCCUCGUUCCUCCCUGCUGUGUGCACCGUGACAAUAGCAUUUCAGUCUUUUUUUCAUUUAUUAUAAUGUUUUUUGUAUAAUGUUUUAAAAUGUACUUGAGUAUGUUGUUAAUAGUAUAUUUAAUAGUAUGUUUUUUGUUUUUCACCAAAGUAUAUAUGCUUCUGUACUUUUUAAAUGUACUUUAUGAAUAUUUGUAAUGUACACAAUAUAUAAUACAUUAAAGUUUU